rnacentral:rRNA from 1 species
UACGUAGGGUGCAAGCGUUGUCCGGAAUUAUUGGGCGUAAAGAGCUCGUAGGCGGUUUGUCGCGUCUGCUGUGAAAACUCAGGGCUUAACCCUGAGCCUGCAGUGGGUACGGGCAGACUAGAGUGUGGUAGGGGGGAUCGGAAUUCCUGGUGUAGCAGUGAAAUGCGUAGAUAUCGUAAGGAACGCCAGUGGCGAAAGCGAAUCUCUGGGCAGCAACUGACGCUGAGGCACGAAGGCCAGGGGAGCAAACGGG